AUUGAACGCUGGCGGCAGGCCUAACACAUGCAAGUCGAGCGGAUGAAGGGAGCUUGCUCCUGGAUUCAGCGGCGGACGGGUGAGUAAUGCCUAGGAAUCUGCCUGGUAGUGGGGGAUAACGUCCGGAAACGGGCGCUAAUACCGCAUACGUCCUGAGGGAGCAAGUGGGGGAUCUUCGGACCUCACGCUAUCAGAUGAGCCUAGGUCGGAUUAGCUAGUUGGUGGGGUAAAGGCCUACCAAGGCGACGAUCCGUAACUGGUCUGAGAGGAUGAUCAGUCACACUGGAACUGAGACACGGUCCAGACUCCUACGGGAGGCAGCAGUGGGGAAUAGUGGACAAUGGGCGAAAGCCUGAUCCAGCCAUGGCGCGUGUGUGAAGAAGGUCUUCGGAUUGUAAAGCACGUUAAGUUGGGAGGAAGGGCAGUAAGUUAAUACCUUGCUGGUUUGACGUUACCAACAGAAUAAGCACCGGCUAACUUCGUG
rnacentral:rRNA from 1 species